AAGAAGGCCCACCUCACCGCCCUCGCUUUCUCCUUCUCUACAGGCAUCCUCUUCUUCGCCUAUGCUGCCGCUUUCUGGUUUGGAGCUUACCUGAUUAAGGAAGGAGAGAUGGAUUACACAGAUGUAUUCAAGGUAUUUGGUGCCAUUGUGUUUGGAGCCAUGGCUUUAGGACAGUCCAGUGCCUUUGCUCCAGACGCGUCUAAAGCCAAGGUGUCCGCAGCUCACAUAUUCUAUCUCCUGGAACAGGAACCUAUCAUUGAUCCGUACUCGGAGGAAGGCAAGAAAGACUUACCUGUGAAUAGCAAGAUCCGCUUUGAGGGUCUUCGUUUCCGCUACCCGACCCGACCGGAUGUUGAAGUGUUGCAGGGCCUAACCCUGGAGGUGGAACCUGGAGAGACCGUAGCGCUGGUCGGAGCCUCGGGAUGUGGAAAGAGCACCACCGUACAACUGGUGGAGCGGUUCUAUGACCCAGAGGAUGGUAUCGUGUAUUUGGACAGUAACAACAUUAAGGAUCUGAACGUCCAAUGGCUGAGGAGACAGAUCGGAAUAGUAUCUCAGGAACCUGUAUUGUUUGACUGCAGUAUUGCCGAGAACAUAGCGUACGGGGAUAACUCCCGAGAGGUUCCGAUGGCAGAGAUUAUUGAGGCUGCCAGAAAAUCCAACAUCCAUAAUUUUAUUCAAUCAUUGCCUAAGGGCUAUGAUACUCUUUGUGGAGACAAGGGGACACAACUCUCCGGAGGACAAAAACAGCGAGUGGCAAUUGCCCGAGGACUGGUCAGAAAUCCCAAGAUUCUUCUGCUGGAUGAGGCCACAUCUGCCCUCGAUACCGAAAGUGAAAAGAUUGUACAGGAAGCUCUGGACAAAGCACGGGAAGGGAGAACGUGUAUCGUCAUCGCACAUCGACUGUCCACCAUCCAGAACGCCGACAAAAUCUGUGUCAUCAAACACGGUCAAGUGGCGGAGCAGGGUCGUCACAGCGAGCUGAUGGCCAGUCAGGGCAUCUAUUACAGACUGGUCACGAAAGCGCAGUCACGAAAGGAAAAAUAGUCGAAUCUUAGCUAAAAAAGAAUUGUCUAUGAAUGUGUUUCAAAAGAGGAACAAUUUUAUGUGUUGGACUAUACCGGUAUAUGAAGAAGUGCUUGACGAACAUUUUUUAAAAAUGUGAAUGAUUUCUUUUUUCUCAUUUAUUUUAAAACCUGAUUCAGGCUUGUUGGUGUUUGUUGGGCUGUUGAAAUGGAGAAAAGAUUUGCUGAACUAAUAGAUGGUCGUCCCCUGGUUAUUGUAGAUUGUUUGGUAAAAUAACAGGAUAAAAAGUUCCAGAAAAAUCUCAACUUUUUGCAUGAUGGUGCUUUUUGGUAGUAUUCAUUAGGAUUGUACAAAAAUGUGCAUUAUUGUGAUUGUAAUAUGCACUUAGUUGUACUGUAUAUUUCUAAUUAUUCAGCAAAUUAUUUUGGCUUUAAUUCCUCUUGUUUAUAAGAAUUAAUGGUAGCACAUUAUGUACAUGUUUUUUGUUUUUAAUCUUUUGGCUGUUAUAUUAGGGGCCAAAGAGUAAGUCUCUAUUUUUUCACAUUUGUGUAUAAGUAUAUGUAGAGUUAUUUAACUGGAUCUGGAUGCUCAGGUUGGAUUCAGACUGUGCGGUGUGGUGUAAACCAAUUUUUAUUCAUAACAUCUUUAUUUCAUAAUUUAUCAGAAAUAAGCUGAUUCGCGGACACUAAUUUUUGCGUUCAAGCCUUAUUUACAUGUACAUAUUGUUAUUUACACCCAUACUUUACUUAGACUACCCACCUGCAUGAUAUUCUAAAUUGAUUAUAUGGGGAUAUAUGUACAUGUACCUGUAUUUCUGUCGCCUUUAAGAUUAAGAUAUAAGUAUUCACUGCUGUUGUGUGUUGCCUGUAUGUGAUAAGCAUGAAUAUUUCCAUGUACAUGUUAUUUGUUGCAUUGUUCUAACAAAUGUUAAUGAAUGUUUGAAGGGGUGAACCUUUAGGCUUGUAGAUGUGACAAGCUUGAAGCAUCAGAACCAGUAACAUUAUUGAAAUAGAUGACUUUAUUUCAUCUUCUAUUAGUCCUUCAUUGAUGUUUUUAAAUUCUUAAAUGUUAAAUUGGGGGUUUUUUUUGUUUGGUGAUUUUUUGUGUAGAUAACUCCAGUUGAACACACUCGUAAAAAUACUUUUAAAAAACUACUUACUGCUAUUACCUGUACAUAUCAUUAUUUUGUGAUCAUUUAUUUAAUCCGGAGACUGAGAGUAUGUAAUCAAAAGAUGUAUUUAUAAACCUCGGUGAACAAUUUAUGUUUGUAGACCUAUAUGUAUGUUUCAUAAAGAAAACGAUUAUCAAUUGUAGAGAUUCAAGGUCAUUUGUUACUGGACAAUCAGUCUUCAUUUUGUCAAAAAUUUCUACCAAGUCUGAAAAGUAAACAAAAAUGUAUUUGUU
rnacentral:misc_RNA from 1 species